GUUGGAUCCUGGCUCAGAACGAACGCUGGCGGCAAGCUUAACACAUGCAAGUCGAACGGACAGUUAUUUAUAGCCUUGGCUAUAAGUAUCUGUUAGUGGCAGACGGGUGAGUAAUGCGUAGGAAUCUGCCUAGUAGUAUGGAAUAGCUAUUAGAAAUGAUAGGUAAUACUGUAUAAUCCCUGCGGGGGAAAGAUUUAUCGCUAUUAGAUGAGCCUACGUUAGAUUAGCUAGUUGGUAAGGUAAUGGCUUACCAAGGCAAUGAUCUAUAGCUGGUCUGAGAGGACGAUCAGCCACACUGGAACUGAGAUACGGUCCAGACUCCUACGGGAGGCAGCAGUGGGGAAUAUUGGACAAUGGGCGAAAGCCUGAUCCAGCUAUGCCGCGUGAGUGAAGAAGGCCUUCGGGUUGUAAAACUCUUUUAAUAGGGAAGAUAAUGACGGUACCUAUAGAAAAAGUCCCGGCAAAC
rnacentral:rRNA from 1 species